rnacentral:rRNA from 1 species
CCUACGGGUGGCAGCAGUGGGGAAUAUUGGGCAAUGGGCGCAAGCCUGACCCAGCAACGCCGCGUGAAGGAAGAAGGCUUUCGGGUUGUAAACUUCUUUUCUCAGGGACGAAGACAGUGACGGUCCCUGAGUCCUAAGCCUCGGCUAACUACGUGCCAGCAGUCGCGGUAAUACGUAGGUGGCAAGCGUUCUCCGGAUUUAUUGGGUGUAAAGGGCGUGUAGGCGGGAGCGUAAGUCAGAUGUGAAAAGUCAGAGCUCAACCCUGAGCCUGCAUUUGAUACUGUGGUUCUUGAGUGCUGUUGAGGCAAUCGGAAUUCCGGGUGUAGCGGUGAAAUGCGUAGAGAUACGAAAGAACACCAGUGGCGAAGGCAGAUUGCUAAACAGUAACUGACGCUGAGGCGCGAAAGCGUGGGGAGCAAACAGGAUUAGAUACCCUUGUAGUC